GGGUUGUGAGGUUAAGCGAACAAGCGUACACGGUGGAUGCCCUGGCAGUCAGAGGCGAUGAAGGACGUGCUAAUCUGCGAAAAGCGCCGGUAAGGUGAUAUGAACCGUUAUAACCGGCGAUGUCCGAAUGGGGAAACCCGGUGCACUUCGGUGCAUCAUCGUUAGCUGAAUACAUAGGCUAACGAGGCGAACCGGGGGAACUGAAACAUCUAAGUACCCCGAGGAAAAGAAAUCAACCGAGAUUCCCCCAGUAGCGGCGAGCGAACGGGGAACAGCCCAGAGCCUGAAUCAGCUUGUGUGUCAGUGGAACGGUCUGGAAAGGCCGGCGAUACAGGGUGACAGCCCCGUACACGAAGGCACACAGGCUGUGAGCUCGAUGAGUAGGGCGGGACACGUGAUAUCCUGUCUGAAGAUGGGGGGACCAUCCUCCAAGGCUAAAUACUCCUGACUGACCGAUAGUGAACCAGUACCGUGAGGGAAAGGCGAAAAGAACCCCGGCGAGGGGAGUGAAACAGAACCUGAAACCGUGUACGUACAAGCAGUGGGAGCCUUCGUAAGAGGGUGACUGCGUACCUUUUGUAUAAUGGGUCAGCGACUUAUAUUCUGUAGCAAGGUUAACCGUAUAGGGGAGCCGAAGGGAAACCGAGUCUUAACCGGGCGUUAAGUUGCAGGGUAUAGACCCGAAACCCGGUGAUCUAGCCAUGGGCAGGUUGAAGGUUGGGUAACACUAACUGGAGGACCGAACCGACUAAUGUUGAAAAAUUAGCGGAUGACCUGUGGCUGGGGGUGAAAGGCCAAUCAAACCGGGAGAUAGCUGGUUCUCCCCGAAAGCUAUUUAGGUAGCGCCUCGUGAAUUCAUCUCCGGGGGUAGAGCACUGUUUCGGCUAGGGGGCCAUCCCGGCUUACCAACCCGAUGCAAACUGCGAAUACCGGAGAAUGUUAUCACGGGAGACACACGGCGGGUGCUAACGUCCGUCGUGAAGAGGGAAACAACCCAGACCGCCAGCUAAGGUCCCAAAGUCAUGGUUAAGUGGGAAACGAUGUGGGAAGGCCCAGACAGCCAGGAUGUUGGCUUAGAAGCAGCCAUCAUUUAAAGAAAGCGUAAUAGCUCACUGGUCGAGUCGGCCUGCGCGGAAGAUGUAACGGGGCUAAACCAUGCACCGAAGCUGCGGCAGCGACACUAUGUGUUGUUGGGUAGGGGAGCGUUCUGUAAGCCUGUGAAGGUGUGCUGUGAGGCAUGCUGGAGGUAUCAGAAGUGCGAAUGCUGACAUAAGUAACGAUAAAGCGGGUGAAAAGCCCGCUCGCCGGAAGACCAAGGGUUCCUGUCCAACGUUAAUCGGGGCAGGGUGAGUCGACCCCUAAGGCGAGGCCGAAAGGCGUAGUCGAUGGGAAACAGGUUAAUAUUCCUGUACUUGGUGUUACUGCGAAGGGGGGACGGAGAAGGCUAUGUCGGCCGGGCGACGGUUGUCCCGGUUUAAGCGUGUAGGCUGACUUUCCAGGCAAAUCCGGAAGGUUAAGGCUGAGGCGUGAUGACGAGGCACCACGGUGCUGAAGUGACAAAUGCCCUGCUUCCAGGAAAAGCCUCUAAGCAUCAGGUAACAUCAAAUCGUACCCCAAACCGACACAGGUGGUCAGGUAGAGAAUACCAAGGCGCUUGAGAGAACUCGGGUGAAGGAACUAGGCAAAAUGGUGCCGUAACUUCGGGAGAAGGCACGCUGACAUGUAGGUGAAGCCCCUGCGGGUGGAGCUGAAGUCAGUCGAAGAUACCAGCUGGCUGCAACUGUUUAUUAAAAACACAGCACUGUGCAAACACGAAAGUGGACGUAUACGGUGUGACGCCUGCCCGGUGCCGGAAGGUUAAUUGAUGGGGUUAUCGCAAGAGAAGCUCCUGAUCGAAGCCCCGGUAAACGGCGGCCGUAACUAUAACGGUCCUAAGGUAGCGAAAUUCCUUGUCGGGUAAGUUCCGACCUGCACGAAUGGCGUAAUGAUGGCCAGGCUGUCUCCACCCGAGACUCAGUGAAAUUGAACUCGCUGUGAAGAUGCAGUGUACCCGCGGCAAGACGGAAAGACCCCGUGAACCUUUACUACAGCUUGACACUGAACAUUGAGCCUUGAUGUGUAGGAUAGGUGGGAGGCUUUGAAGCGUGGACGCCAGUCUGCGUGGAGCCGACCUUGAAAUACCACCCUUUAAUGUUUGAUGUUCUAACCUGGCGCCGUGAUCCGGCGUGGGGACAGUGUCUGGUGGGUAGUUUGACUGGGGCGGUCUCCUCCCAAAGUGUAACGGAGGAGCACGAAGGUCAGCUAAUCCUGGUCGGACAUCAGGAGGUUAGUGCAAUGGCAUAAGCUGGCUUGACUGCGAGAGUGACGGCUCGAGCAGGUGCGAAAGCAGGUCAUAGUGAUCCGGUGGUUCUGUAUGGAAGGGCCAUCGCUCAACGGAUAAAAGGUACUCCGGGGAUAACAGGCUGAUACCGCCCAAGAGUUCAUAUCGACGGCGGUGUUUGGCACCUCGAUGUCGGCUCAUCACAUCCUGGGGCUGAAGUAGGUCCCAAGGGUAUGGCUGUUCGCCAUUUAAAGUGGUACGCGAGCUGGGUUUAGAACGUCGUGAGACAGUUCGGUCCCUAUCUGCCGUGGGCGCUGGAGAAUUGAGGGGGGCUGCUCCCAGUACGAGAGGACCGGAGUGGACGCAUCACUGGUGUUCGGGUUGUCAUGCCAAUGGCACUGCCCGGUAGCUAAAUGCGGAAGAGAUAAGUGCUGAAAGCAUCUAAGCACGAAACUUGCCCCGAGAUGAGUUCUCCCUGAGACUGUAAGUCUCCUGAAGGAACGUUGAAGACGACGACGUUGAUAGGCCGGGUGUGUAAGCGCAGCGAUGCGUUGAGCUAACCGGUACUAAUGAACCGUGAGGCUUAACCUUACAACGCCAAAGAAGU
rnacentral:rRNA from 1 species